GCUCAAUAUUACAAGAGGAUUACCCACCAACCACUCUUACAGGGUCCAGAGCCAGGUUUUGAUGUCCGAGCUCUUAUUAGCUACAUUCGAGUGCAAACGUUUGCGUCUCCGUAGCUUUCCGGUAAAAGACCCCUCCCUCUGUUUGCAGCUUUUCCCCUAAAAAGUUUCAUGUUCUUUUAAUGCCGUUUUAGCGUUGAAAAUCUUUCACGUGCUCAAGAGUUUGCGUCCCUACUGAUUUAUUUAUAUGUUUAAUUUGUUUCGCGUUUUGUUUCACCCACUAAAUUCCCAUCGUACUGUGCAGUUAUUCGUCUCGAAGCACGUUACCGAGUAACCGCUAUGAUCUAUUCAGUGACUAUAUGGAAUGUUAGUCGUUAAAAGAGUGACCUUCAAAGAAGUCCUAAGUGUCUUAUUAAGUCUUAUACUCUGGUGCUCUGGAAUUCUCAGUUGUGAUUGGUCAGAAGGUGUUGAUUGAUCUUCUACCACAGCUCGUUCGCAGGAACACGUACGGCGGACGCUUGACGUAAUCUAGGACUACUGAAAACCAGAUUUAAAAUAGAGAGAGAGAGGCUGAGAGGUGAGAGAGCGACUGUUUUAGAGCUGCUGUAAUAUAACCGAAAACAAAGUACCCGUUUGGAUUCGUGGCCGUUCCACAACAUAAAAUGAUACUAUAACUGGCUGAAAGUACAACGUGUCAUUCUUGAAUAAAUAAAGAAAUUGUAAUCGUUGGCAUGUUGCUGUGAUCUAGGAGGAAUAAAACACUUUAGGACAUGCUGUUAUGGGGAAAAUAAUCGAAUUUCCCCGUCAUGAUUUCCAACGACUGUAAAAACCGACCGGAUGAAACGUCUCGGUUCCUUCAUAUCGAAGUAAGGGUGCGCAAACUUUUGCACUCAACUGUAUAUUUCCACCUAAACGUUUUUUUUUUUUUGGGGGGGGGGGGGUUUUAAAGAAAAAAAAAAUCGAAUCGUGUGUUUUCCUGUGACGUAUUGUUCUAUAGAUAUCGUGUAAAGCGUGAAACAAGGUGACACCCAACGUAUGACGUACGUAGAUUUGCUACACGCCAAAAUCGAUCACCUCAGAGUUCGCAUAAAAGACAAAAAAAUUCAUGUAAAAGUCCAGUCGUGAUCUCAAAGACCUUCUCAGAAGGAUUAGUUUGGUGCUACAUCUUAGAAAUGGUGCUCAGUACGGUGUUUAAUCGAUUCCUGUUUGUAUUUUUCCAUCACUCAGGUUUGUCUUACAAGAAAUGAAGCAGUUUUCAUAAUCAGAAAAUUCGCCCUUGGAUCAUUUUAAUGUUUUUUUUUUAUUAUAAUUAUUAUUAUUAUUUCCUCCUCUGGAUACAGUAAACUGUGUGUAAUUAUUCUAUAUGUAUUCCUCACAGAUUAAGCGAAAAGUCUUUUAAUUAAAUGUUUAAAUGAAGCCAACGCUAGGUUUAAUACGUGUCUUAAUGAACUAUGUGCUUAAUUUGGCUACAUUAACGAAUGGAGUAUGUUGAAUUUUACUAUUCUACGACACCUUAGAUGCAAAUUAACGCCCGGUCUUAGACUUCAACUGUGAUUUAAAUCGACCGAAAAAAAAGAAAAGGAAAAAAAAACCCAGCCUGCUAGUACUCAGUCUUAAUGUAUGUCUGGGAAAUCAACCUGCUGUGUCCUUUCCAUCUCAACACUGCCCAAAUGUAGUGUUUAUAAAAACGUUAGCGAAUUGCGAGUGUUUUACGCCGUGCUCAGAGGAUAGAGAUCUUUAAAUAAAUGUGCUGGGCUAAUCGUUAGGUCUCAUUAGAUUGGAAGGUUCUCAUUACAGGCGUGGGAAAAGUGAAAAGAAAGUGUAGUUACGGCGUCGGCGUCGGACUCGGUUGAAAGUAGAUGUACAGAGCCAGAAAUCUAUUUGAGUGAAAGUUAAAAAAAAAAAAAAAAAAAAAUUCGAACAUGUAUAUGUGUGUGUAUAUAAGUGAUCAGAAAUGAGCACUCCAGAUAGAACAUUUAUUUGAUUAUUUAUUGUGGUAAAUAUUUAUUAAAUAUUCUGCUAAAAACAAGAAUCUGGCUAGCUGGGUAGCUAAUGUUUAAUAACCCUUAUGUUAAAGUCGCAUUAGCAACAAAACAAAACUAGCUAAAAAACUUUUCUUUUUUUUUUUUUUAACUAAGCUUGAAGCUGUAAAUUUGAUUGGAUGUCAGUUUCCACAAAGCAAAGCACGACUGGAAUAGCAGCUAGGCAAGAGAAAGGUCAAAUUGAAACUGUAAGGAGUGAAAAGCACGUCCUUUCUCUUGAAAUUUACUCGAUUAAGAGUAUUUGAUUUAUAUAAUACUCGAGUAAAGUACAGAUCUUCCAAAACGGUACUUAAGGUCAUGAGGUCCAGAGUUUAAAAUAAUGAUAGACCACUUUGCAAUGAGUCUUAAUAUUAAUACGGCAAGUGGACUUUGAUUUGCCCUUAUCGCAUUCCUUAUGGUGUUCCACAGGGAUCCAUUCUCAGUCCUCUUCUUCUCUCUUGUCACAUUCUUGCAUCUCUACACAACAGAACUUUAC
ensembl:lncRNA